rnacentral:misc_RNA from 1 species
AAAAAAGUUAACAGAGCAGAAAUUGAGCAGGAAGGAGGAAGAAGAGGCUAUUCGGAGAUCAGAAGCUUUGGAGAAUGAUGGAAUUGAUACUUUGAGGAAAGUUUCAAGACAGGAGUAUUUAAAGAAAAGGGAGGAGAAGAAACUGGAAGAAAUCAGAGAUGAUAUAGAAGAUGAGCAAUAUCUUUUUGAAGGUGUGAAGCUUACUGAAGCAGAAUAUCGGGAGCUAAGGUAUAAGAAGGAAAUAUAUGAGCUUGU